rnacentral:rRNA from 1 species
UACGGAGGAUCCAAGCGUUAUCCGGAUUUAUUGGGUUUAAAGGGUGCGUAGGCGGCCUGUUAAGUCAGGGGUGAAAGACGGUAGCUCAACUAUCGCAGUGCCCUUGAUACUGAUGGGCUUGAAUUGACUAGAGGUAGGCGGAAUGUGACAAGUAGCGGUGAAAUGCAUAGAUAUGUCACAGAACACCGAUUGCGAAGGCAGCUUACUAUGGUCUUAUUGACGCUGAGGCACGAAAGCGUGAGGAUCAAACAGG